UUGGCUAAUGGGAACUGCCCAAUUAGA
rnacentral:piRNA from 1 species